rnacentral:lncRNA from 1 species
GAAAAAAUCCUCCCUCCCCUUCCUGCAAACGGGGGCAGGGUUGCUUUCUGCUAUUGCAAAUCCUGCCUUGCUCUCUUCCACGGGGAUCUGGUGAGUCUCUUCCUCCCUCCCCCCCCCCGGAGGGCGCAGUGGGGAGAAGGUGGGGGUCCCCGGGCUGCAGCAGGGGAGGGUGGCUCAUGUGUGGGGGGGGGGGAGCCCCGGGAGCAGGGGGUCCUGCCAGGGAGGGACGGGGUUGCGCGAGGUUUGCAACUACAGUACUGUAUGUCCUGCAUUUCUAUACAGACGCCGCUUACUCCUUUGGGAAGGGCAAUCCUCUCCUGGGAUCUGGUGAGUCUCUUCUUCCUCCUCCCCCCCCCCGAGGGUGCAGUGGGGAGAAGGUGGGGGUCCCAGGGAGGCAAGUGAGGGUGGCUCAUGGGGGGGGGGGAGCCCCAGGGAGCAGGGGGUCCUGCCAGGGAGGGGCGAGGUCGCAGGAUCUGUCUCCUUCCUUUAGAUCUUUGGGGGGGGGGAGGGGAGGAGGUUCCCGCCCCCCUUCCAGAAAAAAAAUUAUUCAGAGCCCCCUGGGAAAUCUAGCAGAUAGAAAUCUAGCUUCUGUAAGGAAGCUUAUCAGUACGACUUCUGCUGUGUGUGACACGAGUCAGCGUCAUUGCACAACAGAGGAAACACAUAUGAAUGGUUGCUCCCAAACCUCUUCGCUCCUUUCCCUCCUUUCUUUCUGCUUCUACCGCCCCCUUAUUGGCAGAGGAGGCCAGCCAAGCAGAUCAAGCCAAGCUUUAUGAGGAGCUGGGUAUGUUUAGUUGGAGAGGAGGAGACAGAGAGGAGAUAGGAGAGCCGUGUCAGAUUAGAUAAUUUAUUACGGUCAGAGACCAGCUUAUAAAACACACUUGGGAGUACAGUCACAGAAGUAAAACAGGCAAUUUAUGUACGACAACAAAUUAAAAAACAAUGUACACCAACAAACUAUCCCAGGGAGUUGACUCAGAGUCACCCAUGAAACUGAGUUUGGGGAUUUUCAUGACGGUCUAUUUUGAGUUGGGAGAUGGUCUGCGCCUACAGAUCUGUACACAGAAUCUGGCGACCAUCCAGGUCAUCUUCUGAUCUUUGCCUAACAGGAAAAGGUCUCAUUUUUGCUUUUGCAGGAGGUCAGCGAGCCUCACCAGCAGGGGAUCAAUGGUCUUACUACGUGUCUCUUCGUAAAAGGGACGUCUAAAGAACAAGUGUUUUGGCUUCCUAUCUCUCCCAAUGGACAGGUGAAAAGUCUCUGAGCAUACGGGACUUUUCUAGAAGCUCCGUCCAGGACCAGCGAGGAAGAGCCGAGCUUCUGGCGAGUGUAAAGGCCCUUCUUGUAUUUCUAGAUGCGAGAAAGAAGAGAUAUUCUGCCGGUGCGGCUAUAUAUUUCUCGAUUUCUCCAAUUUUAUGGUCGGAGCACCUUGCGCAGUCCUGUUCUCUCUCGGUAUCUAAUAUUCUUUGCCUGACUGUGGCUUUUGCCUGGCACAAGCCCAGACUUAGAAGGGCUUGAGGGGCAAAACCCAGUUUCCGGAGGGUGUUCAGGACUGCAGUCUGCCAGCCCGACUGGAAUUGGUCACAGAGGAUCAAUGGGGCUAUCCCUCUGGGGAUCAGAUACAAUGUCAGCCAUUUGUAGAUUGAUGUUAGGCAGAUGCUAGCCUCCACUCUCAUCAUCCCCGUUUCUAAUCUAACCCAUGCGUUUGAGACACAUCUGGGCACUUGGAGGAGAGCUCUAAGAAGUCUAGAUUGAACUCUCUCAAGGGGGGAGAAAGCCGAGGAACGCGGGCGCAAAAAGGAACCAUAAAGGAGUUGUGCCAAAGUUUUGGCCUUGUAUAGUUUUAGAGCUGCGGGAACAAAGAAGCCCCCUGUGCUCUGAAAAAUUUAAGGAUACAAUUUGCGGGUUUUUCCGCUGAACUCCCGAUGGAGUUUAUGUGUAGUUUGUUGGCUCCUGAGGCCUAUACCACCAUUCCUAGAUACGUAUAGUUUGUGACUUGUUCUAAUUUAUGGCCUUGGAGUUCCCAGCUUUUAAGCUUUGGUUUUUCCCCAAAAGCGAGUAUCUUGGUCUUUUGAUAGUUGAUUUUGAGACAUUCAAAUUCACAGUAUGCUGCGAGCUUUCUUAGUGCUCUUUUGAGUCCAAUGGGGGUUCUAGAUAGAAUUACUGCAUCGUUGGCAUAUAGCAGGACCGAAAUAUGCCGAUUUGUGAGCUUCGGAGGGUGGAGUUCGGAGUCAUGGAGUGCAGAUACUAAAUUAUUUAGAUAGAAAUUGAAUAGUAGAGGGGCCAAUAGGCACCCUUGCCUGACUCCUUUAGAGGUUUUAAUAGGGUCCGUUAGGUGUCCUAGGCGGCUACACCUGACUCUAAGAGCCGUGUUUGCGUGCAGUGCCUGAAUUAAGAGCAGAAGCUCAUAAUUCUAUGUAGGUACCCUGUAGUCUGUCCCAGAGUCUGGUUCUGGAGACUGUAUCAAAGGCUGCUUUUAGAUCAACAAAGGCAGUGUACAGUGAGGCCGGCCUUUAGGAGAGCCAUGUCACCUGGGCGCAGGAUUCCAACCAAUGGCUUCAAGCUACAAGAAAGGAGAUUCGGACUCAACACACCUAGUCAUUUUUCACUAGGAACCAAUGACUCCCUUGUCAAUCAGUUCUGACUUCAUGCAUUGACUGGAAGGAAGGAGCAACCAGGCUGAGUCCCCUCGCAUUAAUCUCUUCGCUUGCCUCCACAUUUCCACAAUCUCCCUUCGAGAGGCCUACAUCAUCUCCUCCUCCUCCUCCUCCUCCUCCUCCUCCUCCUCCUCCUCCUUUUUAGAAAGAUAGCUCAGAGUCUGGGCUGUGGUGCAGUCCUACCCUGGUUCCCAGGAAGACUCAUCCAUGCUUGCUCAGGGAAACUUUUUCUUCUCCUGAUAUUGUACAACUUUUGUAACAGAACAAUGUAUGUGCUUUGUAGAAUUCAGACAGACAGAACUUGGCAGAAGACCAAAGUGUUCCUUCCAAUCUCUCCGAGGCUUCCUGAGAGCACAGAUGGAUGAGCGAGACACAGCUGGCCCUAGAGCAGGAAGAGGCCAUGUCAUCCAAACUGGGAGCAGUGGGGGAUUCUGGGAAAACUCUGUGCAGAAGAUCCUGGGUGAGGAGGACACCCACUCCUCAGAGGUGCAGAGCCAGCAGUUGAGGCAGUUCUGCUUCCAGGAGGCCAAGGGACCCCGAGAGGUUUGCAGCCAACUCUACCACCUUGAUCAUCAGUGGCUGAAGCCAGAAAGGCACACGAAAGCUGAGAUGCUGGACCUGGUGAUCUUGGAGCAGUUCCUGGCUGUCCUUCCACUGGACAUGGAGAGCUGGGUGAGGAACUGUGGAGCAGAGACCAGUUCCCAGGCAGUGGCCCUGGCCGAAGGUUUCCUCCUGAGUCAGGCAGAGGAGAGGAAGCAGGCAGAGAGAAAGCAGGUGAGAGAGACUUUCCUCUGGAUACUCCCAAGGGGCUCCAAACAGG